CCUACGGGAGGCAGCAGUGAGGAAUAUUGGUCAAUGGACGAGAGUCUGAACCAGCCAAGUAGCGUGAAGGAUGACUGCCCUAUGGGUUGUAAACUUCUUUUAUAUGGGAAUAAAACGUUCCACGUGUGGGAUUUUGUAUGUACCAUAUGAAUACGGAUCGGCUACCUCCGGGCCAGCAGCCGCGGUAAUACGGAGGAGCCGAGCGUUAUCCGGAUGUAUUGGGUUUAAAGGGUGCGUAGGUGGAUUGUUAAGUCAGUUGUGAAAGUUUGCGGCUCAACCGUAAAAUUGCAGUUGAAACUGGCAGGCUUGAGUACAGGAGAGGUGGGCGGAAUUCGUGGUGUAGCGGUGAAAGGCUUAGAUAUCACGAAGAACUCCGAUGGCGAAGGCAGUUCACUGGACUGCAACUGACACUGAGGCUCGAAAGUGUGGGUAUCAAACAGGAUUAGAUACCCCAGUAGUC
rnacentral:rRNA from 1 species